ensembl:lncRNA
GCUGCUGCUGCUGCUAAGUCACUUCAGUCGUGUCUGACUCUGUGCGACCCCAUAGAUGGCAGCCCACCAGGCUCCUCCUUCCCUGGGAUUCUCCAGUACAGGGGCAGAAACCUGGCCAGGGCAGGCCAUGGAGGCAGGAUUCAGUGGACGACUCAAACCCAGAGUCCUUCAUGAAUGGCUCUCUAGCCAUUCUCCACUCAGGAGCAUCUCCCAGGGAGAGUCCAGGUUAUAUUUAAGAAGACAGCAGAGGAAGAGGGAGAAGACUGCAAAUCAAGAGGCUUCUGAAAGAAAGGAGCUGCAAGGAAGACUGAGCACAGCCUCAGCAUCUUUUAGUUGUGGGGAUGAUAACAUACAGGGUAACCGUGGAAGCGCUGCAAGCCUUGUGUAGAAGAUGCUGGAGCCUUUGUCCCUCUGGGUCCCUGCCUGACUACAUGGAAUAGAAUUCUCUCCUGGCAGCCACUGGACUUCAUGGUCCAAGGAGAAAAUGGAUGUCUGCAAACCAGGAAGAAGGCUCUCCCUAGAACCCAGCCAUGCUGGCACCCUGAUCUUUGACUUCUGGCCUCCAGAACUGUGACAUUUCUGAGAAAUGGAGUGUCCUGAAUUCAAUAAAGUAGAAGAGUCUAUGUCUCCAUUAACUUCUGAGAAGUUUCAUCAUUGGAGUUUUCUCCAGCCUGCCGGAUGAUCUUUAUUUUCCCUGAACUCACAUGGACUGUGACAGUCAUUUGGCAACUAAUUGUGCAUGGAGUUAAUAUGUAGUCCGUGUAUGUUUCAGGACGCAUGUGGAGCUAAACAGGGAGAUACUGUUGUUCUGGUUCCCUGGGAAACAUACUCAGAGAUGAGAUUUACAUGAAGGAAAUUUAUUUGGGAAUGCUUUGGGGAAGAGUGGAAGUAAGGAAAGGAGGAAAAGGCAAAGGGAAGACUUGAACAUCAAUGCAGAGGCAGCUAGUCCUUCAGAGAAGGGCCGAAGUUGGGGAAGCAGCCCUCUGCCUGAGGGAGCUUUCCACGGCGUUCAGGGAGUCAGCCCACCAGCAGUCAGUGCUUCUGACAACUGAUGAGACCAGAGCCUUGGUCCUGAAGCAGGCUACCUGGGAGCUACACUCCAGCAUUCAUUGCAGGAAGUAACAGAAUGCAUAGAUGAGUGGCAUAGCAUUGAGAAUUAGCUGGGCUGGUUUGAAACUGGUUUCUACCACACUAGACAUCAGAUAUGUCACCUUGAGCAAACUACUUAACUUCUCUGCUCCUACUCAUUGGGGAUAAGAACUCUGCAGGCAUCUCAUGGGGUUAUUGUGGAAAUGGAUGGAUGAGUUAACACACAUGAAGCAUACAGUGGUUCCUGGAAUAUUGUGAGCCCUUUGCAAUUGUCAGCUAUUAUUAUGAGACGUUGCUAUAAAACAAUGAAACUAUUUUUAAAACUAACUUACCCGUAUGAAUAUUUGUUCCUGUAUAGGUCAGAGG